AAAUUGAAGAGUUUGAUCAUGGCUCAGAUUGAACGCUGGCGGCAGGCCUAACACAUGCAAGUCGAACGGUAACAGGAAGCAGCUUGCUGCUUCGCCGACGAGUGGCGGACGGGUGAGUAAUGUCUGGGAAACUGCCUGAUGGAGGGGGAUAACUACUGGAAACGGUGGCUAAUACCGCAUAACGUCGCAAGACCAAAGAGGGGGACCUUCGGGCCUCUUGCCAUCAGAUGUGCCCAGAUGGGAUUAGCU
rnacentral:rRNA from 1 species